UACGUAGGGUGCAAGCGUUGUCCGGAAUUAUUGGGCGUAAAGAGCUCGUAGGCGGUGUGUCACGUCGGCCGUGAAAACCUGCAGCUUAACUGUGGGCGUGCGGUCGAUACGGGCAUCACUGGAGUUCGGCAGGGGAGACUGGAAUUCCUGGUGUAGCGGUGAAAUGCGCAGAUAUCAGGAGGAACACCGGUGGCGAAGGCGGCUCUCUGGGACGGUACUGACGCUGAGACGCGAAAGCGUGGGGAGCGAACAGG
rnacentral:rRNA from 1 species